UUGAACGCUGGCGGCAUGCCUAACACAUGCAAGUCGAACGGUAACGCGGAGAGCUUGCUCUCUGGCGACGAGUGGCGGACGGGUGAGGUAAUACUUAGGAAUCUGCCCAGUAGUGAGGGACAACAUUCGGAAACGGAUGCUAAUACCGCAUACGCACUACGGUGGAAAGUGGGGGAUCUUCGGACCUCACGCUAUUGGAUGAGCCUAAGUCGGAUUAGCUUGUUGGUGAGGUAAUGGCUCACCAAGGCGACGAUCCGUAGCUGGUCUGAGAGGACGAUCAGCCACACUGGGACUGAGACACGGCCCAGACUCCUACGGGAGGCAGCAGUGGGGAAUAUUGGACAAUGGGGGCAACCCUGAUCCAGCAAUGCCGCGUGUGUGAAGAAGGCCCUAGGGUUGUAAAGCACUUUCAGUAGGGAGAAAAGACUUACGGUUAAUACCCGUGAGAGUUGAUGUUACCUACAGAAGAAGCACCGGCUAACUCUGUG
rnacentral:rRNA from 1 species